UAGAUAAUAGGACUGCACACACCUGCAAAACAAAUCAGAAAUCAAACAAUGAAUCAAGAAAAUGGGUGUGAAUUAAUGCGUUCAACACACUAUGCAGUACCCAUGUUGCAUGGAGCUUUGUGUUUACUUGAUCAGCAACGAUAUUCAUUAUCCUUGCAAGUCCCCACUUACUACUUCCUUUAAGCUACCAACCACUUCGAGUGUGGUAGAG
rnacentral:lncRNA from 1 species